rnacentral:rRNA from 1 species
UGGGGAAUAUUGCACAAUGGGCGCAAGCCUGAUGCAGCCAUGCCGCGUGUGUGAAGAAGGCCUUCGGGUUGUAAAGCACUUUCAGCGAGGAGGAAGGGUAGUGUGUUAAUAGCACAUUGCAUUGACGUUACUCGCAGAAGAAGCACCGGCUAUCUCCGUGCCAGCAGCCGCGGUAAUACGGAGGGUGCAAGCGUUAAUCGGAAUUACUGGGCGUAAAGCGCACGCAGGCGGUUUGUUAAGUCAGAUGUGAAAUCCCCGCGCUUAACGUGGGAACUGCAUUUGAAACUGGCAAGCUAGAGUCUUGUAGAGGGGGGUAGAAUUCCAGGUGUAGCGGUGAAAUGCGUAGAGAUCUGGAGGAAUACCGGUGGCGAAGGCGGCCCCCUGGACAAAGACUGACGCUCAGGUGCGAAAGCGUGGGGAGCAAACA